UUAAUUGAAACCAAAGUAGAGGUAUGUCACUGUUAAUGACAAAACUGAGAUUAAUCUCCAAUUAAA
rnacentral:tRNA from 1 species